rnacentral:rRNA from 1 species
GUAAGGAAUAUUGGUCAAUGGACGCAAGUCUGAACCAGCCAUGCCGCGUGAAGGAUGAAGGUCCUCUGGAUUGUAAACUUCUUUUAUCUGGGACGAAAACGGGAUUUUUAUCUCAAUUGACGGUACCAGAGGAAUAAGCACCGGCUAACUCCGUGCCACCAGCCGCGGUAAUACGGAGGGUGCGAGCGUUAUCCGGAUUUACUGGGUUUAAAGGGUGCGUAGGUGGGCUUAUAAGUCAGUGGUGAAAUCUCCGAGCUUAACUUGGAAACUGCCGUUGAUACUAUAGGUCUUGAAUUAUCUGGAGGUAAGCGGAAUAUGUCAUGUAGCGGUGAAAUGCUUAGAUAUGACAUAGAACACCAAUCGCGAAGGCAGCUUACUACAUAUAAAUUGACGCUGAGGCACGAAAGCGUGGGGAUCAAACA